GAUGAACGCUGGCGGCGUGCCUAAUACAUGCAAGUCGAGCGAACGGACGAGAGGCUUGCUUUUCUGAUGUUAGCGGCGGACGGGUGAGUAACACGUGGAUAACCUACCUAUAAGACUGGGAUAACUUCGGGAAACCGGAGCUAAUACCGGAUAAUAUUUUGAACCGCAUGGUUCAAAAGUGAAAGACGGUCUUGCUGUCACUUAUAGAUGGAUCCGCGCUGCAUUAGCUAGUUGGUAAGGUAACGGCUUACCAAGGCAACGAUGCAUAGCCGACCUGAGAGGGUGAUCGGCCACACUGGAACUGAGACACGGUCCAGACUCCUACGGGAGGCAGCAGUAGGGAAUCUGCCGCAAUGGGCGAAAGCCUGACGGAGCAACGCCGCGUGAGUGAUGAAGGUCUUCGGAUCGUAAAACUCUGUUAUUAGGGAAGAACAUAUGUGUAAGUAACUGUGCACAUCUUGACGGUACCUAAUCAGAAAGCCACGGCUAACUACGUG
rnacentral:rRNA from 1 species